rnacentral:rRNA from 1 species
UACAGAGGUCUCGAGCGUUAGGCGGAAUCACUGGGCUUAAAGCGUGUGUAGGCGGAUCGGUAAGUACCUUGUGAAAUCCCACAGCUUAACUGUGGAGCUGCUUGGUAUACUGCCAGUCUUGAGCCAGCUAGGGGCUACCGGAACAAAUGGUGGAGCGGUGAAAUGCGUAGAUAUCAUUUGGAACGCCAAUGGUGAAAACAGGUAGCUGGGGCUGUGCUGACGCUGAGACACGAAAGCCAGGGGAGCAAACGGG